ACCGCGGUAGCCCAGUUUGUUAGUGGCGUCGGCAGUACAAAUGCCUAAGGUCGCAGGUUCAAAUCCUGCCUGCCGUG